CCUACGGGAGGCAGCAGUGGGGAAUAUUGCACAAUGGGGGAAACCCUGAUGCAGCGACGCCGCGUGAGUGAAGAAGUAAUUCGUUAUGUAAAGCUCUAUCAGCAGGGAAGAAAAUGACGGUACUUGUGUAAGAAGCCCCGGCUAACUCCGUGCCAGCAGCCGCGGUAAUACGGAGGGGGCAAGCGUUAUCCGGAUUUACUGGGUGUAAAGGGAGCGUAGACGGCAGUGCAAGUCUGGUGUGAAAGGCGGGGGCUCAACCCCCGGACUGCUCUGGAAACUGUACGGCUAGAGUGCAGGAGAGGUAAGUAGAAUUCCAGGUGUAGCGGUGAAAUGCGUAGAUAUUAGGAGGAACACUAGUGGCGAAGGCGGCUUACUGGAC
rnacentral:rRNA from 1 species